rnacentral:rRNA from 1 species
UGAGGAAUAUUGGUCAAUGGGCGGGAGCCUGAACCAGCCAAGCCGCGUGAGGGAGGAAGGCCCUAUGGGUCGUAAACCUCUUUUGUCAGGGAACAAAAGCGAGUAUGUAUACUAGUCUGAGUGUACCUGAAGAAAAACGCAUCGGCUAACUCCGUGCCAGCAGCCGCGGUAAUACGGAGGAUGCGAGCGUUAUCCGGAUUUAUUGGGUUUAAAGGGUGCGUAGGCGGCGGUGCAAGUCAGCGGUAAAAGCCCGGGGCUCAACCCCGGCGAGCCGUUGAAACUGCAGUGCUAGAGAAGGCGAGAGGUACGCGGAAUGCGCAGUGUAGUGGUGAAAUGCUUAGAUAUUGCGCAGAACUCGAUUGCGAAGGCAGCGUACUGGCGCCUGACUGACGCUGAGGCACGAAAGCGUGGGGAUCGAACAGGAUUAAUACC